CCUACGGGAGGCAGCAGUGGGGAAUAUUGGGCAAUGGAGGCAACUCUGACCCAGCAACGCCGCGUGAAUGAUGAAGGUCUUCGGAUUGUACAGUUCUGUGAUGGGGGAUGAACACCAUGACGGUAACCCCAUAGCAAGCCACGGCUAACUACGUGCCAGAAGCCGCGGUAAUACGUAGGUGGCAAGCGUUAUCCGGAGUGACUGGGCGUAAAGGGUUCGUAGGUGGUUUAGUAAGUUGGCGGUGUAAUUCCGGGGCUCACCCUAGACGCUACCGCCAAAACUAUUAGACUAGAGUGCAGGAGGGGUAAGUGGAAUUCCUAGUGUAGCGGUGGAAUGCGUAGAUAUUAGGAGGAACAUCAGGGGCGAAGGCGACUUACUGAACUGUAACUGACACUGAGGCACGAAAGCGUGGGGAGCAAACAGGAUUAGAUACCCUGGUCGUC
rnacentral:rRNA from 1 species